AAUAAAUUUGAACGACUGAUAAAAAUAAAAGUUCUGCUCUGUAAGCUUAACUUCCAUUUUUGAGCUUACUGAGCCUUGACACUGCAUACCCCUAAGAUCUGUAAAUCUUUUAAGGUGUUUUACCAUUUUCUUAAGGGAGUCACAUUGGCAAAAUUUCUUAGGAUCAGACAAAUGUAUCUGUCUGGACUCAAAGGCUGUUAUUUCAUGAUGAACUGUAAUAUACAUUGCUUCAAUUCUUAAUUUAAUGGUAUCUGAUCUAUUCCAGGUGAUGGUAGGUAAUUUUGGCCAGGGUAAUGAGCAGUCAGAAGUUCCAUGGGCAGUUCUCACAGCACCUCACUUCCUAACCAAUGAGCUAAGCAAGGACACUUCCUGAGAGUGCAGAACAUAUCCUGAAAAAUGAGAUACUGAUUUAUACAUAUCAAGAUGCUUCAGGGCUUCAAGGAAAGCAUAUCAUGAAGAGGAAUCAACUAGAACAACAUUGAAACAUUAACAUGGCAUUGAAGAAUUCCAGACAGAAUUAGGAAAUGAAAAGGUUGGGAUUCUCAGAGCAAUAUCAAGUCACCAUUAAGUAUGCAGAUCUUACUUGUGGACCGCAUAUAAAAUUCACAAUACUCUGUGUAUGCAGUAUUGUUUUGCUCUGUGAAGCAAAAAUAUCAAGUAUGCACAAGCUGUUUUAAAAGAUCAUCUAACAUUAUCAGCAUCAAAUUUUAUAUGCAGCCCCAUUUUAUUCCUGGUUUUUGAGUUGCCAUUGUCACAAAACAAAACUAGACAAAAUUUUUACCAUUCUACAUCAUUUAAAAGAAAAUGCCUAUGGUGAAGUAACUGAGACACAAUUAAAAUGUGCUAAGCCUUACACCAUAAAAGGGGAAAAUAUAUUUAGUACUUGCCAUCUGAAAGAGUUUCAUGAGCACAGGAAAAUUGCUGUUUGGGAACAUGACUGUUGAUUUCUGCAAAAUGUGAAAAGCAAGUCAGUGAAAGCUAUAAUGUAAAUUUGAAAAUAGGAACUUAACCAAAGAAGGCCUCAGAGGAAUGGACUGCUUUGUUCCUAGUCACCUUUCAGCUGCUGGUUCUUGAGAUCACCUGUGAUUUGAUGCUAUACGUAUUUUAGAUGUCCAGUUGCCAUUAAACUCUUCACAGCUGAGGAAGCAGACAUCAUGAACAGAAAGGUUGUGAAAAGCAGACCAGACAAAUGGGGUGUUACAGAGCAAGAUGAUAAGAGGUGAACAAAUAAACAGGUAAGAAAAAUCUGCAUUCUGUUUUUAAGCAAUUUAAAACAUUUAGAGAUAACAAAGAGCCAGUAGACAUACUAAAAGGAAAAGUUACACAAAAUCAUAACAUGCAUUUCUGUCCCUUCCCUCUUAGCAGAAUGUGGUCUGCACAGUCUUCUAUAAAUCCAUCAUCUAUCUUCACCUUGAAUACUGCAUACAAUUGUGCAGUUUCCCCCCAUCUCAGUAAAAAUAGAAGUGGAAUUUCUGGAAUCGUGGAAGAUUCAGGAAUGGUCAACACAGACAAAGGCACAGAAAUGGGGUUUCAAAACUGAGACAGAUUGACAGUAAAGUAUUUAUGAAAAGGGCACUGGUGCUGUUUAUGACAAAGCUGUUUAUUUAAUAAAGUAGGCAAAGUCUCAACUCUCUUUGAAUUCAGUACGGAUGAUUUCCCCAAUGCAUUUACAUAGCUUAGUUGGCGAUACAUGGGAAAAAUAAUUAAUCAAUUUGUUACUGCAGUAGAACAGCCUACUGCCUUCCCUGCCUGCAGGGCAUAGUUUCAUGAACACCUUUAGGCAAAACAAGCAGCAGUGUUGGAGUCUCUUUCCCUGCAAGUCUGCAGUCCAAAUUUCUGCUCAAGGCAGGUUCCAUUAAAGCAAACGCCUCUUGUGCACCUUUGGGAAGAAUCCGACUCCAUAUUUCCUACGCUGUUCCAUGAGGAAGUGGUAGUCAGCAGUAUCACCUCCCUUCACCAUCUUUAAACCUGAGCAAAUCCAGUGCUCUCAGCUUUUUGUAUGCCAUCAACUGCAGCCCCCUGAACAGUUUGGUGGCCUUUACAAGUCUUGCUUAGCAUGUGAAUGCCUUUCUUAAAACGAGGCUCAACUCCAAAUGUUGUCUCACAAGUGUCAAGUGGAAGGGAAGAAUCUCUUCCCUCCAAACCUAGCAGUUGUGCUCAGCCCAAUAUGCAGCUGGAACAUGUUUGCUGCAAGAGCACACAGUUGACUCACAUUCAGCUUGUGCACCAUGACCCCCAGCUUCUUUUUUAUAAAGCUGCUGUCUAUGCAGUCAGUUCCCAACCUGUCCCAACACACGGGGUUAUGCCAACCCAGAUGCAGGGCUUCGCAUUUGCCUUUGUUGAACUUCAUGAGGUUCCCCAGCAGCUCCUUUUUCCAGUCUGACUGGGUCCAUCAGAGUAGCAGCCCUGCCCUCCAGUGUAUCAACCACUCCCCCCAAUUUGGUAUCACCCACAAAUUUGCAGAGAGGUCACUCUAUCUCAUCAUGCUGGUCAUUACAUCAACCAUUUCAAGAAUUCAAGUUGGUGUAACCUAUGUAAAAGCAAGCAAGUCAAACAUCCUUCCAGAGAUAUGCUAGAGAUUUCAAAUUUUGUUUUACAGAAAUGCAGGAGUUGCAUUGCUGAGUCUUUUUUCCUUUAGAUAUAAAAAGUAGCCCUAGGUUCCAGAAGAAGCAGGCCCUGGUCUUUUUUUUUGGAUGCAAAUACUGAAAUGUAGAACUUGAUUUGCUGUGUGUAAGGAAUCUUCUGGACGGCAGAGAUGCUUGUUGAGACUGAACUAAGCUUGUUGAGAAGAACUAAGCAAGCCAGAAGUUAUUUAUAGUGUCCUUCCCCAGAAUCUUCCUGUCUGUGGCUUUGCUCAAAGACAGAUGAUAUAUUUCUCUAUCAUAAAAUGACCAGUUGCAUCAGUCUACGUGGUACUCCAGGAACAUACUUGCAAUCUUGUUAUUUGCCUGGGUGGUUGUAUGCACAGGAUGGACUUUGUGCUUAUAGCUGUUAUACUUAAGGAGCAGAGAGUAGAAUCUGCAAGAACAAAACCAGAAAAAGAGAGAUGAAAGAAGAAACCUGUAGGAGUAAUUUAGCUCCUCUGCAUACAAUAUAACUAUAAACCAGUUUCAAGAACAUUUAUGUAAUGACAGCUUUUCCAGCACACAACUGUCUGUUAUGGGCAGCUACGCACUAGCACGGUGUUUUUGCAGAAUGGACAGAAUAACAUCACUGCCAAAGGGCAUAUAAAGGACAAUGUUACAAACAUGCUCCCCAAAAUUCUCUCAGAACAUAUUAUGCUACUCAUAGGCUUACUAUAACCAAAGACACGACAAGUUAUACUAUAGGCUGGUAUGGUCCUAAAUAGAAGUUGGAUUUUGUUCUGUAUGCUAGAAAUAGAUUUGAGAUAAUACCAAGUACAUUGGAAAUACUAUGAAACAGCUCAUGAAAAUGUUUUCUGAUCUUCCACGUGGAGCUUGUCUCUCCAGAUUAUGUUUUUCAACUGUUGUAGUUUCUGGAACAACAUUUCCAACAACACGAGCUGAAAAAAACUUCAGGAAACAGGAAGCAUUGGUUGUGAAAACGAACUAAGAGAAGAUGGAAGGACAUGAAAGAGAAGAAAGUCAGCCAAGCCUCUAAAAAUGGGAACAAAGGCACUGCAUGUUUUCAAACAAAUAUUUCAGAGUCAGGGCCACAGAAGAACCCAAUCUGGGACUUGUGCUGGGUUGCAGAACACCAAGGUACAGCUCCUCAGCUCUGCUAUAGCCAUCAUAUAACACCCUGAACAGAUCACCCUGCCAUCUCUAACAAUGGGAAAAUAAUUUUUGCCAUUCUUUAUUAGUUCAUUCAUUCAGUGGGACAGUAAAUAUAUAGCUUAAUUGCCACAAGCUUAAUGCACCGGGAUCCUAAUUUUGUAGAACUUUGCUUAGAUACCAAGAGACCCUAUUACUUAUAUACUCAUCAUCAUUACUACUGAUUUUCCUAACAGCUAAAUGCAGAAUAUGUAUAAAUUUCACCAGGUAGGUGGCAAAUGCUUUCUCAUUUCUCUGUAAAAAUAACUGCUCUUACUAAACAGAAAGUGUUAAUGGAACUGACUUCUGUUACUACAAAAAUACAGCUUUGCAGCUGUUUAGUCAGUAGUAAAUAUACUAUUAUAUUGUUCUCAAAAUCACUAAUUUCACCUGCUCAUAGGAAAGUGAUAAUUUGACUUACAUUAACCAUACUUUAGACCAUUCUGGUACUUUCCAUCAACAUUUUAACAUUUUGGAUUAAUGCACUCUGUCAUCUUACUGCAUAUACAGGAUCAUGAACACUGAGAAAUGAGGCCUUUACAACUGACUUAACAAUGUUGCCCAUAAUAUUGUUAUACUGUGAGAAUGUUCCUCAGUACAACUGUGUGUCUCAAUUAUAUUAAUGUAUUCUUCAGAUUUAAAACCAACUUAGUUAAAGCAACCAUUGAGUACAUGCCACCUUGUUUGAGAAAGUAUAUUUGAAAAGCAAAUGCUUCUCCUCACCUAUACACAGCUCCAGUUGCUAAAAAGAAUUCAUCAGUGAGAAGGAAAAUGCAAUUUGUCAUAAAUGACUUAACACCAGUCACCAAAUGCUUCAGAUAAAUGAAAAGGAACACUACAAGAAGCAAAUACAACAGGUCAGCACUGCCACAUAAGAUUUAUAUGAAAUUUUUAUGGGAAUCGAAAACCUCAUUUAAAAAAUAAAUCAUUAUCAUUGUAAUUCAUAUCUACUUCCAGUCUGUGACUAGUAUAUUUUCUUAGCCAUAUGCCAUGGCAGUUAACUGGACAACCUAAAUCUCCCUCAAUGUAAGUAUUUCCUUCUAUCAGAUUUCUCCCCCUCCCAUCCCAAUUUUACUAGAUGUUCUCCUUUGAACUGUUACUACAACUUGUAGGAAGCAGAACUCCUGACUUGUGUUUCUUACUUCAUAUAGAUUUUAUCACUUUCACAUCUUUGGCUACUUUCUGGUAGAAGCAGCUGUAGUCUGCGCAUGUUAGUCUCACUUGAUUUUUCAUUGGUUUUAAGAUUACUUUCCUUCCUUCAGUGAAAAACAUAUCAACUUUACUAAUCCAACACCAAGUGCACUAAGGCAUUGCAUCAGUUGGUCUCCUGAAGAACAUUCACGUUUCUCCUUUGGAUACUGUUUUCAUUGUCAUAUCCAAUGGUAUGCUGGAUGGGAUACUGUUCAACUGGAAGUUGCACUAAACAGCUGCUGAACACUAUUAAAACGUUCUAAUAGGUGUGACUUAUGGACCGGAAGAGUCAGUAAACAAAUGCAGUAUAAGUGACAGUAUGAAAAUGGACUAACAGCAAUUAGCAAUGUGACUCCAUGAGUAACAGGGAAAUUGCCUUGACCCAGUUGAUGGCAGGAGC